rnacentral:lncRNA from 1 species
AUGAGGUCAUUUGGUGGGCUGUGGUCUGAUAUGACUGAUGUCUUUAUAAGAAGAGGAAGUUUGGACACAGGCAAGCACACGGGGAGAGUGCCAUUUAAACGUGAAGACGGGCAACAACCCAAAUGAGAGAAUGUGAUUGUAUUUGGAGAUGGAGCCUUUGAAGAUGUGAUGGAGGUAAAUUGAGCCACCAGGAUGUGCCCUAAUCCAAUCUGACUGUGCUUACAAGAAGAGGAAAUUUAGAAACAUAGAGAAACACCAGGGAUACAGGCACAGAGAAAGGACCGUGGGAGGACACAGCAAGAGGGCGGCCAUCUGCAAACCAGGGAGCAAGGCCUUAGAGGAAACCAGCCCUGCAGGCACCUUGAUCUUGGACUUCCAGCCUCCAGAACUUUUGGAGGAAUCCCAGAGCAGCGGCUUUGUUCCUUACUUUUUCAGGAUAGACCGGGGAAAUAUCAAGUCCCAGAGAACUGCUGCAUCCAGCACAUGCCACCCAGGUGGUGGGUUAGAAAGGGCGGAAUGAAGGGGGAAGACAGAGAGAAUGGAGAUGCCACUAUCCUGCAGCAACAGUGAGGUAAAAGUUAUAGGAAACAAAGAAGUAACCUUUUCUGGUACCUCAAUGCAUUGGACAUAGUUUUCAAAUCACUACGACAUGUGUGUGAAUUCUUCUGAGUUCUGUAAGGCUUUGUCCCCAGCUUUUGCCACAGGAAAGCUUCUUUGCAGUGACUCCAUCCCCUAUGCCCGUCCUUCUGGCAUCCUCGCUCCAUCCUAUGGUUGCUGUGGAGACGGCUCCAGCCCCUCAGGUCCUGUGUGUGCUGGAGGGACAUGGAGCCCUUCAGAUUUUGUAGGGUGAAGUGCCCUGAAGCCAAGGGAUUUUGCCCUGCCUGUCCUGCCCUCCUCUCUCUGCCAGCAUCAGCCUUGCCAAACUCUUCACCUAAGGCUGGCUUCCAGACAUGAGUAAGAAGAGAUGAGAUUUUGGGGCAAGGAAGACCCAGCUCGGAAACACACUUGUGAAUCUGGAUAUCUGUGUCUUAAAUAAUUUUGUGGUUUUUUUUCUUACUACUAAAUUCAUAUUCAUUGUGGAAGAUUUGGAAACUUUUGACAAGCCAAAAGAAGAAAGUAAAAAUCACUAGAUAAUCCUACCACCAAGAGACAGCCGCUGUUCAUAUUUUAGUUUACCAACUCACAUACGCAUUUUCCUACACAACUAACUCCCUAUUUAUGUGAUUGUCCACUUAGGACUUGUGAAUCUUUCCAUGUCAUUCACUUAAAAACAAGUAAACGUUGUAUUAUUAAAAUAGAGUUUAAGGCAAUAAACCAAAAUGUUAACA